rnacentral:sRNA from 1 species
GCGAUGUUAUUCUAUUGAUAUUUACUUUUGAAAAACUAGAGAAUCCACGAUAUUUGUUGACAUUUGUGUACUAUUAUUGAAACGUCUUGAAAAAAAAGCAACUGAAAAUAAAUAAAUAAAUACUAAAACAUUCGAUUGGAUUCUAAGUGAUUAUGGAAGCUACGAAAUACAGUCGAACUCUAAAAGGACCACAUCGGGAAGCGAUCGUAUUGGUCCAAAUAAACAACAUACACACUAUUUGUUUCUUCAAAAAUUAAUUAAUUAUUCUCAUAGAAUCAAACGGUAAAGUUAAAGUGAUAUUAAAGUCAUUUUGUUAUGCUGAUGUUUCAUCUGUUAAUAUUUAAUAGCAUUUAAUAAUUUGAACCAUUUAUAUUGAGAUAGAAUUGAAUGAAAUUCUACAAUUACUGUAGAGUUUAAGGCAUUGAAUUUUUCUAUCUUUAGAAUGAGUUCUAGACUUGUAUGCACUGAAUGUGAACUCAAGCUGAUUACAGAACUGUUCAACAUCAAUCAUUAUUGUUGACUUGUGACAAACUAAUUAACAAUCACGUGCGAACACUUUUCACAAUUCCAACUCCGCCUCCAGCUUUAGUCAACAGUUGUAUCGGGACAGCAAUGAACUUGAAAUCAUUUUACAGCGAUAAAACUUCGAUUACUUUUUGCUUGUCAAAAUACUUUGCAAUAAUCUGGAUGGAAUAAGUUUAGAACAAAAACAUUAAAACUGGCCAGGUGAAAAAGGCUUUCAUUUCGACGACAUUGCAGCGUUCUUUAGGGACAGACUUUAGCUGGAAUGUUUCAAUGAACUGUUUGUGGUUGGAGAAAUAUUUAAAUAAAAGAUUCAUUGAACGAAAUCAAUUCACGAAACUCGUUCUCGCAAAUCAAACAUUGAGUCAGAUCAAUGACAACACAUGAACACUGUCCAGAAACAUUCGAUCUACCGUGCGUAUUGGGAACUGAAUCUAGAUCCUUAUUGUUGAAAGUAAAUAAACACUUUCCAAUUUGAUAAGGACCUAAAGCUCCAGAAUGCGUCAUCUCGCUACUAGAUUGUUGUCGUUAGUUCUAUUAACAAUGAGAGUAUUAUCGACCAACUAUUCGGAAUCUUUGGCCUUCCUAAACAGUCGCCUGGCCGAAACAAAUUACAGCCCACAGCUUCGACCUCUGAUCGACCAGAAGGACUUAAUCAAGGUUGAGGUCGCUUUCGAGCUUGUGUCCAUCGUGGAGGUCAAUGACGUCACGCAGAGUUUCACCAUCAAUGGGUUUUUGUUCUUUACGUGGACAGACCAGAUUCUGGCUUGGCACGAUGAACUGGGUGACGAUGUUGAAUUAAUUCAUCCACUGCCAGAGCAGAUCUGGAGGCCAAGGGUCAUAUUCAUGAAUACAUUAGAGGAUAGAGAUCUUUUUGAUGACGAUAAAGCGUGAGUAGAUAAAGUUAAAGAUUAGCUGUACAUGUUGUUUUAUUGUUACCAAUUUAAAUGGUGCAUGGAAUGUAUGGAGUAUAAUGACUUCAGUAAAGUUGCAGAGAAAGCAUGAAGUAUUGAAUUAAAACAAGAAAAGAAACCACUUCUAAAUGAAUGUUUAAGGUCUAUAGGAUAAAGUGUAUAUAACGUAUACAACCAAUGUCUCCUAUUCUACACCUAGAUGAUAGACUACGAUUACACGAACCCCUGACGAGUUUAGCCUCUGGAUUCAUCGAAGUGUAACCUCCACUUCACUCUUCACCCUCCAAGACCGUUUCUCC